rnacentral:rRNA from 1 species
AUGUGUGUACCCAAGAACCAAGGAGGAAUGGGUUUUCGGGAUAUCCAUUGUUUCAAUUUGGCUAUGCUUGCUAAACAGGCUUGGCGUCUUCUCGAGAAUCCGGAUUCUCUAUGUGCUACUAUUUUGAGAGUCAAAUACUAUCCUGACGGUGACUUGUUGAACACUGACCUGAAGAAGGGUUCUUCCUUCACCUGGCAAAGUAUUAUGGUGGGUGUGAGCUCCCUGAAGCGUGGUCAUAUUUGGCGAGUGGGAAACGGGCAGAAUAUUGACAUUUGGGAGGACGCAUGGAUUCCAAAUUGUGCAAACCGUAAAAUUGUUACCCAUACGGGAGGCCAGUUGUUAUGGAAGGUAGCAGAUUUGAUUGAUCCAAUCCUAAAUAGUUGGGAUGAAGAUCUUCUCAGACAGACUCUAUGGCCUAUUGAUGUUCAGCGAGUGCUUACGAUCCCGAUAUCGCAACAUGAUAUGCCAGAUUUUAGCUUGGAAUUUCACAAAAAUGGGAUUUUUUUGGUUCGGUCUGCUUAUUUUGUGGAAUGGGACCACCAAUAUGGGAACAAGUUACGACAUACCAAUGGGAUGGGACGUACCACGGUCAAUCCUAUUUGGGUGAGGAUUUGGAAACUUGCUUGUCCAGCAAAGGUUAAAAUAUUUAUUUGGCGUACACUUCAUGGCACUAUUCUGUGUCGUGUUAACUUAGCUAAUAGACAUGUGAAAGUCUCGCCUAAGUGUCCUGCCUACUCAUCUGGGCCAGAAGACACAAAACAUUUGUUGUUUCUAUGUGACAGAGCAAAAGAAGUCCAAAGAAGACUAGGGAUGGACGAUAUUAUC